GGCUUAGUAGCUCAGUUGGUUAGAGCAGGGGAAUCAUAAUCCCAAGGUCGCAGGUUCAAGUCCCGCCUGAGCCA
rnacentral:tRNA from 1 species